UGGGUGGUGGAGGUUUGUCACAGUCCCAUUAGCUGGCUUUCUGGGAUGGCACGGGUUGAUGCCUUUACCAUGCCAAUCCCAAAUGGGCAGAGGCUUGGUGGAGCUCUGCAAGGAAAAGGUAUGCCUGGUGCCCGUAUGGCCAGGCCAAGCAUUGGCACCAGCAGAUGGGUGCCAAGAUGCAGCAGCAUGCGGCACCAUGGACGGGCACGCGCUGGGGUGUGCA
rnacentral:lncRNA from 1 species